UUUCUUCCUAUUCGUCCAUUAAUUUCUCUCUGUUUUGGGUUAGAUUCCACUUGUUUGACCAUUGCUGUAGCAUCAUUCAUGCUGUUUAUAUAUGUUAUUGAGUUUUCCCUUUCAGCUCAAAAUGACUCUGUAAUUAAUUAAGAUCUCAGCUAAUUUCCCACUGGCUCCUCUCUUUAUAACUUUCAUUGCUCUUCUUUGCUGGGCUCAUAUUUUUCUUCUUAAAUAUUCCUGAUCUGUUCUUUCUAUCUCAUUAUCUCUGAACCAACAACGACUAAUUAAAUGAGAACCCAAUUGGUUUUUAGUUAUGAAUUUUCUUGUAUUUUUACUGUACCAUGUUUUCUGACAUUUUGAUCUUGUCCAACAACUAUUUUAAAGAAUUCUUCUGACAGUUAUUAUUCACUUCUAUCUCCUUCUUUCUGAUUUUCCACAUGUUUUGGGCUAGAACCUCUGAGCUAUAGACCACUAUUAUUGUCUGAUCAUUCUAAUACACUCUUGUUUGAUCAUAUUUAGCCUUUAUUUAUGAGAUAUAAGAACUCAAAUAAUCUCCCAACUGUCCUCCAUCCACUAGCUUCUCUCUUUAUUUAUCAGGGAAUAAUUAUCACAAGUAGAGCCUACUUCUACAUAUAUCAAGCAUAUACAAAUAUGACUUCCUCUUCUUCUCCCGCUACUCCAUAUUUGAAGCACGAAGUGUUCCUCAGUUUUAGAGGCACAGACACCCGCAAUAGUUUCACCAGUCAUCUUUAUGAUGCUUUGAAGCGAAACCACAUUGACGCUUACAUCGAUAAUAAACUUGAUGGAGGAGAAAAGAUCGAGCCUGCCCUCUUGGAAAGGAUUGAAGAGUCAUGUAUUUCGCUGGUCAUUUUCUCUGAAAAUUAUGCAGAUUCUACUUUCUGUUUGAGGGAACUCUCCAAGAUUCUUGAGUGCAUGGAGACCAAACAACAGAUGGUCUUACCAGUAUUUUACCGACUUGAUCCAAGCCAUGUUCAAAAUCUGACUGGGAGCUAUGGAGAUGCACUUUGCAAGCAUGAAAGAGAUUGCAGUUCUGAAGAAGUAGAGAGAUGGAGACAUGCUUUGAAAGAAAUAGCUAAUCUCAAGGGCUGGGAUUCAGACGUCAUUAAGGAUGAGACCAAGCUAAUUCAGGAAAUCGUUUCCGACAUUCAAAAGAAAUUGAACCAUGAGCUGUCACCCUCAUUUGAUUCAAAACGCCUUGUUGGAAUGGCAUCACGCGUUGAAGACAUCGAAUCAUUACUAUCCUUUGGAUCAACUGGUGUUCUCAUUGUGGGAAUCUGGGGGAUGGGUGGUAUAGGUAAGUCCACAACGGCUGAAACUGUGUAUCAUCGAAACCGUAGUAAAUUUGAAGGCCAUUGCUUUUUCCAAAAUGUGAGGGAAGAAUCACAGAAGCAUGGAGUGAAUCAUGUAAGACAGGAAAUUCUUGGCAUGGUAUUAGGGAAGAAUGAUCUCAAAAUACACGGAAAAGAGCUACCCGCGGCCAUUAAGCGAAUGCUCCAAAGAAAAAGAGUCCUCAUAGUUCUUGAUGAUGUCAAUGAUCCAAAAGAUUUAAAAUAUUUAGUAGGAGAGGAUGGUUUGUUUGGCCAAGGAAGUAGAAUCAUGGUGACAAGUAGAGAUAGGCAAGUGCUUAUAAAUGCAUGUGAUGAAGACAAAAUUUACGAGGUUGAAAUUUUAGAUGAAGACGAUGCACUUCGACUCUUCAGCUUACAUGCUUUUAAACAAGGUCGUCCCAUAGAAGAAUAUAUUGGGCUAUCAAAAACCGUGGUAAGCUGUGUUAAGGGCAUUCCAUUAGUUCUCGAGGUUUUAGGUGGCAAUCUAUACAAUAGGAGUGUUGAAUACUGGGAAAGUAAGGUGGCACAGCUAAGAACUAGUGGUAGCGAGAUUGAGCAACGUUUGGAAUUGUGUUAUCAGGAAUUACGCGACACAGAAAAGAAAAUAUUUCUUGACAUAGCAUGUUUCUUUGGACGGUGCAAAAGGGAUCACCUCCAACAAACACUAGAUCUGGAAGAAAGAAGUGGGAUAGAUCGUCUCAUUGAUAUGUGUCUCAUAAAAAUUGUUCAAAACAAGAUCUGGAUGCAUGAUAUGCUAGUAAAACUAGGGAAAAAAAUUGUCCACCAAGAAAACGUUGACCCUAGAGAACGUAGCAGGUUGUGGCAGGCUGAUGAUAUCUAUCGUGUAUUAACAACUCAGAGGACUGGAUCAAAAGUGGAAAGCAUUUCCCUCAACUUGCUUGCAAUUACUGAAGAAAUGAUCUUGAGUCCUACAGCAUUUGAAGGGAUGUAUAAUUUAAGAUUGCUCAAAAUCUACUACCCACCUUUCUUAAAGGAUCCCUCAAAGGAGCAAAUUAUGAACGGAAAGAGGGUCGGAAUCCACCUUCCAGGAGGGCUUCACUUUCUUUCAAGUGAGCUAAGGUUUCUCUUCUGGUAUAAUUACCCCUUGAAAUCCAUGCCAUCAAAUUUUUUCCCUAAGAAACCUUUUCAAAUUGAAAUGCCUUGUAGCCAGCUUGAACAACUUUGGAAUGAAUACCAGCCACUUGAGAAAUUAAAAUUAAUUAACCCCCCUUCCUCAAAGCCGAGCUUAAUUGAUUCAGACCUGUCUAAAGUCCCACACCUUGAGGUUCUACAUCCAGGUAUACCUUCCUCGAUUAAAUACAGCACCAGACUUACCACAUUACAGCUUCCCAGACUCGAGAGUUUCUAUACUUUGCCAUCAUCAAUUGGGUGCCUCUCUCAACUUGUUAGGUUAAACUUAUCUUCAUGUGAAAGUCUUGCUAGUCUACCGGACAACAUUGAUGAGUUAAAAUCUCUUGUAGAGCUUGAUCUUUAUUCUUGCUCAAAACUAGCAAGUCUUCCAAAUAGCAUUUGCAAGUUAAAAUGUCUUACUAAGCUUAGUCUUGGUCGUCAGCCAAAACUAGCAAGUCUACCUAACAACAUUGGGGAGCUGAGAUCUCUUGUAAAGCUUAGUCUUUCUUCUUGCUCAAAACUAGCAAGUCUACCCGACAGCAUUGGCGAGUUGAGAUCUCUUGUAGAGCUUCAUGUUUCUUCUUGCUCAGGACUAGCAAGUCUACCAGACAGCAUUGGCGAGUUGAGAUCUCUUGAAGAGCUUGAUCUUAAUGGUUGCUUUGGACUAGCAAGUCUACCAGACACCAUUGGUGGAUUGAGAUCUCUUGGAAAUCUUGAUCUUAAUGGUUGCUUAGGACUAGCAAGUCUACCAGACAGUAUUGGUGCGCUGAAAUCUCUUGAAAACCUUGUUUUUAGUGGUUGCUCAGGACUAGCAAGUCUACCAGACAACAUUGGCUCGUUGAAAUCUCUUGAAAAGCUUGAGCUUAAUGGUUGCUCAGGACUAGCAAGUUUACCGGACAACAUUGGCACAUUGAAAUCUCUCAAAUGGCUUAAACUUGAUGGUUGCUCAGGACUAGCAAGUCUACCGGACAGAAUUGACGAGUUGAAAUCUCUUGAACGGCUCUAUCUUAAUGGUUGCUCAGGACUAGCAAGUCUACCGGACAGAAUUGGGGAGUUGAAAUCUCUUGAACAGCUCCAACUUAAUGGUUGCUCGGGACUAGCAAUUCUACCGGACACCAUUGGCGAGUUGAAAUCUCUUGAACGGCUCGAACUUAAUGGUUGCUCGGGACUAGCAAGUCUACCGGACACCAUUGGCGCAUUGAAAUCUCUCAAAUGGCUUGAUUUUUUUGGUUGCUCAGGACUAGCAAGUCUACCGGACAACAUUGGCGAGUUGGAAUCUCUCCAACAGCUUCGUCUUGUUGAUUUCGCACAACUAGCAAGUCUACCGGACAACAUUGGCGUGAUGAAAUCUCUUGAAUGGCUUGUACUUUCUGGUUGCUCAGGACUAGCAAGUCUACCGGACAAUAUUGGCGAGUUGGAAUCACUCCAAUCUCUUCAUCUUAGUGGUUUCUCACAACUAGCAAGUCUACCAGACAGCAUUGGCGCGUUGAAAUCUCUCAAAUCGCUUAGUCUUUUUGGUUGCUCAGGACUAGCAAGUCUACCGGACAACAUUGGCGAGUUGGAAUCUCUUCAAUCUCUUAAUCUUAGUGGUUUCUCACAACUAGCAAGUCUACCGCACAGCAUGAGUGCGUUGAAAUCUCUUGAAUCGCUUCGUCUUUGUGGUUCCCCGGGAUUAGCAAGUCUAUUGGACAACAUUGGUGUGUUGAAAUCGCUAAAAUUGCUUUCUCUUAAUGGUUUCUCAGAAUUAGCAAGUCUACCGGACAACAUUUGCGCGUUGAAAUCUCUUGAAUCGCUUAGUCUUUAUGGUUGCUCGGGACUAGCAAGUUUACCUGACAGAAUUGGCGGGUUGAAAUCUCUUGAAUCGCUUAGUCUUUGUGGUUCCCCGGGAUUAGCAAGUCUAUUGGACAACAUUGGUGUGUUGAAAUCGCUAAAAUUGCUUUCUCUUAAUGGUUUCUCAGAAUUAGCAAGUCUACCGGACAACAUUUGCGCGUUGAAAUCUCUUGAAUCGCUUAGUCUUUAUGGUUGCUCAGGACUAGCAAGUUUACCUGACAGAAUUGGCGGGUUGAAAUCUCUUACGCGUCUUUAUCUUUCUGGUUGCUCAGGACUAAAAAGUCUACCGGAUAGCAUUGGCGAGUUGAAAAAUCUUAUGACGCUCUUUCUCAGUGGUUGCUUAAAACUAGCAAGUCUGCAAGAUAACUUCAUUGAUAUCGAAUUUAGAGGACUUGACAAACAGCGUUGUUAUACACUGAGAGGAUUCCAGAAAGUAGAAGAAAUUGCAUCAUCCACCUAUAAAUUGGGCUGCCAUGAAUUUUUAAAUUUGGGAAAUUCUCGUGUGUUAAAAACUCCAGAGAGCUUAGGCUCUCUGGUGUCGCUAACAGAGUUGAGAUUAUCUCAGAUUGAUUUUGAGAGGAUACCUGCAAGCAUCAAGCACCUUACUAAGCUACGUGAACUCUUUUUAGAUGAGUGCAAGCGGCUUCAAUGUUUACCAGAGCUUCCAUCAACUCUACAAGUUUUAAUCGCAUCAGGCUGCAUCUCUCUAAAAUCUGUAGCAAGUAUAUUCAUGCAAGGUGAUAGAGAAUAUGAAGCUGCUUCUCAGGAGUUCAAUUUCUCUGAAUGCCUCCAACUGGAUCAGAAUUCACGCACUAGAAUUAUGGGUGAUGCCCGUUUACGAAUUCAACGCACGGCAACAUCAUUGUUUUAUCAGGAAUAUCAUCGUCAGAACAUUAGAGUUCGGUUGUGUAUUCCUGGGUCAGAAGUCCCGGAGUGUUUUAGUUACAAAAAUAGAGAAGGAUCUUCAGUAAAAAUCCGGCAACCAGCUCAUUGUUAUCGUGGUUUCACUUUCUGCGCUGUUGUUUCAUUUGGCCAAAGCGGGGAAAGGCGUCCGGUUAAUAUUGAAUGUGAAUGCCAUUUGAUAAUCAAAGAUGGAACCCAGAUUGAUCUCAGUUCCUCCUACUACAAAAAAUAUGAAAGAAUAAUGGUGAGCAGUACUGUAUGGAAAAGGGAGCAUGUGUUCAUUUGGAGUGUCCACUGGAAGUGCUUUUUCAAGGAGGCCUCGUUUCAUUUCAAACCACUGUGGGGAGCUACUGAUGUGGUGGUUGCGUGUGGAGUCCAUACGCUAAAAUGCACAAACUUGUGACAUUGUGCUUUGUCGCUUGAAAACAAAAUAUGGACAGAGUAAUGAAGUAUCAGUUAGAGGAGAUAACAAGGCAAAGACCAACAGGAGAAACGCUCGCAUACGGGCUUGAUAUAAGGAAGGAGCCACGUUAAAAGAUCUGACGUUCCAAAUGAUUGAAGAGAUCUGCGAUCGUAUCAAGACCGUUCAAAUUUCCGAUUCCAGCCCUUCUCUCUCUUCGACCACAGGUUAUAGACACCCUUCAAAAACUCGGUAAUGAAUAUGAACUUCUUAAAAAGAAGUAUCUACAAGAGUUGUCUGAGAGGAAGGGGCUUUACAAUGAGGUGAUCAAGCUUAAAGGGAAUAUUAGGGUCUUCUGUAGAUGCAGACCACUAAAUCAAGUCGAAAUAACAAAUGGUUCGAACUAUGUAGUUGAAUUUGACUCUUCCCAAGAUAAUGAGUUGCAGAUCAUUUCCUCUGAUUCUUCCAAAAAGUAAUUUAAGUGGACCAUGUUUUUGGGCCUGAGGAUAAUCAAGAGGCUGUUUCUGUACAGACUAAACCAAUAGUUGCUUCAGUUUUGGAUGGCUACAAUGUCUGCAUAUUCGCCUAUGGACAAACUGGAACUGGAAAGACAUUUACUAUGGAGGGCAGCCCAGAAAAUAGGGGAGUGAACUACAGAACAUUGGAUGAGUUGUUCGGAGUUUCUCAAGAGAGAAGUGGCAUUAUGAGAUAUGGUCUUUUUGUUAGUAUGAUGGAGGUUUACAAUGAGAAGAUAAGGGACCUCUUGAUUGAUAGUUCCAACCAACCGCCUAAAAAGUUAGUUUCCUCUUUUAUUGCUACUGUAUUGAUCUGAUAAUCAAAAUAUAGUCAUUUAUAUCAAAUUUUUUGGUUGCAAAAAUUUUGUAAUUGCAAUUUUCUGUAGCACUGAUUUAUAUCAUUUUGCUACUUGAUGAGGGAAAUUAACUAUUGUUAGUACAAACAUCAUGCGUGUGGCUAUUUGACAAGAAAAGUGGAUCGUGGAAGUUUUGUAUUAGCCCAAUUUUCUCGAUAGCAAAUGAUAAUAAAUACAUUGUAAUGGGUGACCUACCCAGAUAAAAAAACAUAAAGAAUUGGUCGCAUUGUAAUGGGUGACCUACCUAAAAAAAAAAAAAAGAGUGGUUUCAUUGUAAUGGGUGACCUAUCCAAAAAAUAACGAGGGCUCGAAGACGUACUUGACAGGAGGUGAGGUUAGAAAACGCAUUAUCUAAGAGAUGGUGGAGUAACGAUCUGCGAAAAUGUUUGAAAACAAAUGCAUUAUGAUCAAUAUACCACUGUGGGGAACUGCUGAUGUGGUGGUUCAGUGUGGAGUCCAUCUACUGUUUGUCCAAGACUGCUGAUGAAUCCUCUGUUAUUUCUCUUCCUAGGACCAUAAUUGGGUCUUAGCCUUCUUGAGUUUUUCACCUGUGCCAUUCAAAGAAUUUGCAUGGUGUCCAUGUUCAUGUGUUCAGAGAGCCCCUGCCUUAAUUUAUGCUUCUUCGGCUGGAACUGUACAGGCGACGUCUCAAGUGUCUUCAGCCGAGGCAGACUUGCUGUAUUCACUUGUCGUUAAAGCUAGGUUCGAGAACAAUCGAUUCCAGAAGCCAAGGAAGCAACCAGAGACUUCUAGCAAACAUGUUGAUUGGUUUUGAUAUUGAAACACCCAGUACAUUCGUAUUGACAUUUUCACUUUCAGAUUUUGUGUUCUGCUCAGGACUCAAAACUCAACACUAAACAUGUGAGAUUUUCUGAUAUCAUUCAAUUGUACAUCUCAACUCCUUGAAUUAUGUAUCCUUUAAGUUCUCUGAAUGAUGUGUCCCCUACUUCCUUGAGUGACAUGAAGGAUUUGUAUGGUA